GACGAACGCUGGCGGCGUGCUUAACACAUGCAAGUCGAGCGGUAAGGCCCUUUCGGGGGUACACGAGCGGCGAACGGGUGAGUAACACGUGGGUGACCUGCCCUUAGCUCUGGGAUAAGCCUGGGAAACUGGGUCUAAUACCGGAUAUGACUCCAUGACGCAUGUUGUGGGGUGGAAAGCCUUGUGCGGCUAGGGAUGGGCCCGCGGCCUAUCAGCUUGUUGGUGGGGUGANGGCCUACCAAGGCGACGACGGGUAGCCGGCCUGAGAGGGCGACCGGCCACACUGGGACUGAGACACGGCCCAGACUCCUACGGGAGGCAGCAGUGGGGAAUCUUGCGCAAUGGGCGAAAGCCUGACGCAGCGACGCCGCGUGAGGGAUG
rnacentral:rRNA from 1 species